UGUAAGCGGAGUGUGAAAUCGUGCGGCUCAACCGUGCGGCUAUGCUCUGAACUGCACCGCUAGAGUAUGGAAGAGGUAACUGGAAUUCCUAGUGUAGGAGUGAAAUCCGUAGAUAUUAGGAGGAACACCGAUGGCGUAGGCAGGUUACUGGUCCAUUACUGACGCUCAGGCACGAAAGCGUGGGGAGCAAACGGGAUUAGAUACCCCGGUAGUCCACGCCGUAAACGAUGGAUGCUAGCUGUUACCAGUAUCGACCCUGGUAGUAGCGAAGCUAACGCGUUAAGCAUCCCGCCUGGGGAGUACGGUCGCAAGAUUAAAACUCAAAGGAAUUGACGGGGACCCGCACAAGCGGUGGAGCGUGUUGUUUAAUUCGAUGAUAAGCGAAGAACCUUACCCAGGCUUGACAUCCUUGGAAUUUCUCCGAAAGGAAAAAGUGCCGCAAGGAACCAAGUGACAGGUGAUGCAUGGCCGUCUUCAGCUCGUGUCGUGAGAUGUUGGGUUAAGUCCCGCAACGAGCGCAACCCUUAUGUUUAGUUGUAUUUCUCUAAACAGACUGCCCUGGUAACAGGGAGGAAGGGGGGGAUGAUGUCAGGUCAGUAUUUCCCUUACGUCUGGGGCUACAAACACGCUACAAUGGCCGGUACAAAGGGCUGCCAACCCGCGAGGGGGAGCAAAUCCCAUCAAAGCCGGUCUCAGUUCGGAUAGCAGGCUGAAACUCGCCUGCUUGAAGCCGGAAUCGCUAGUAAUGGUAGGUCAGCACACUACCGUGAAUACGUUCCCGGGUCUUGUACACACCGCCCGUCAAACCAUGAAAGUCGCCAAUACCUGACGUCUA
rnacentral:rRNA from 1 species